UGAGGAGAAAAAUCAGUUUAUUUCAAGAGAAAAGGCAUCAAGACAUUGCUGAGCCCUUGGACAAGUGAAAAUGAGGCUGUGCAGGAGUCCCCAUCACAGGUGUGAACACAUGCAGGGUUCCAAUAGUUUCCAAGGACAACUUUGACUGCAGCAAAGGAAACAAAAAUAAAUGCAGCUGGCUACUGCUGUGAAGAGGAGUUGUUUGCCUACAAAUCUGUUGGACAUCCCAGAACAUCCAUCAGCCAGCUAUUCUCUAUACAUACAGCAUAACACAUCUUUUUUUAGACCAAAUCUAGUAAAAUACAGUGACUGUUCAGUGUUAAAGUCAGCUUUUUCUCCUUACUUCCAAUAUUGUCUCUUAAAAUCCCCAUGACAAUAUCCAGGCCCUGCUUCCUGGGAUUCCCAAAGAAUUUCAUUUCUUAAUCACUUCUCUCUUGUCCUGUGGAAAAUGCAACUUCAGCCACUCCCUUCUGGCUCAUGAGCAGAACAUAAAGCUCUACAAAUUCUAAACAUAUGCACCAAGAAGCAGAAGCAGCCAAGAACCAAAAAUUUGGACCUGCCUGGGUGCCAAGUUCCAGUCUCUGAGAUGGAUGGAUGUUGCUCUUCCUCCCCAGCUGGGGUCAGCUCCCUGUGGCAGGACUUACCCCACACUCCCAGGUGUACCUGGGGUGUGACAGCACAGCUGUCUCCCUGCUACAUCCAAGGAAUGAUCUUAUCACCUUCAGUCAUCCUUGUGGGCUCCCACCGUGCCCUUCUGCCACCUCCAACAGCUCCCCAGCCACAGCUCAUUGCAUGCUGCCUUUUCUGGAAGGCACUCCCUGCCUUCUACCAGUCUGGGAAUGGCUUUUGAUUCACAUCUUUCGAUCAAUCUGGGUAAAUGUUGCUGGUGGUGUAAGGUUGCCACUGCUCACAAACCCAAGACUUCUAACGUGUACCAAAUGUUCCUGCAAUAUGGCUGGCUCACUCCACAUUAGCAUAAAAAGUACACACUGCAAACACAUCCAGCUGCUUUUAACAUCAAAAGGAAGAUUUCCACUGAUUUUUAUAAGGUCUGAAUUGGAGUCUUGUGACCCUGCUACAGUGAAGUAUUUACACAUAUGCCAGACCCUAAGUAUGUGAAGAAGCCCCUAGAAUUCAAUAUGCUUCUCAGAUGCUUAAACACUUCAGUCAAGGCCUCAAUGUUUAUUUUAAGCUGCUGUAACAGUGCCACUGUUAUAUAAAAUAAAAUCCAUGUGAGAAUUCCUUUGUUCAUAUGAAAGGAGGAAUAGGCCUUUACAUUAGUAUAGGUUCAUACAUAUAAUGUGCCUGUUUAUAUACAUAUGCACACAUAUUUACAUACAUAUAUUGGCAUCUUUUCUUCUCUUCAUAUUCCUAAAAGUAAAGGGUUUAUCUCAUUCAUAAAAUUAACUGCAAAAUGCAGCAUUUGAGUCCACAUUUUUUACAGUGGAAAAAAAAUCCUUUUAAAUGCCCUUCUCCCAGUGCUGAUGGAUGCUUUCCAACCCAGGAAACUGUCACACAAUAGACAAAUCAAAAGCCUUAACCUGAGAAGUGGAAAUAUUUGCCUUGGAAACAUAUAUAGAAAUGCUCACAACAACAAAAGGAAGAAAGAGAGUUGGGCAACAUAGUGAAAGAUUUACCUCAGAGACCAUCAAAAGGAAGAAUCAUUUCCUUUCCUGCUUUAGGGCAAUGUUUAUUUAGAUUAAAAUGUAAAAGGUGCAGUGGGAAUAAACAUCCUCAUUAUUGUCUAUAGAACCUUCAAAUAGACCUUCAUCUUAUAAUGGCAUUCAGGAGACAUUCUAGGUCUUCUCUCUUCAUUCCUUUUCCCUCCUUUAUCUCUUUCCAUUUAUUUUUUUUUUUUCAUUUUGGUUUGAUUUGGUUUUUAAUAUAUAAUAUGCAGGGUUCAGCCUAAAAAUUCCCUACUGAAAUUGAGUGAAUUCAUGCAUAUACAUGCUGAGCAGCUGCAAUCACAUGUGACUCAGACAGGGGCAAUGCAGUAUUUCAACUGCAAAGUCUCCAAAAAUUAAAUGAGAAAAAUGAGACUUUACCUUGGGGUAAAGGCUGGCAGACUAACACCGGAAGGGACAGAAACAGAAUGUGCCCAGUUCUUCUGUCUCUGAUGGAAAAGAUGAAAUUCUUGCAUUGCUUUAAAGAAGAACAGAUUCCUCUAGAAUCACUGUAAGUCGCUUAGAGCAUAUAGAAACAGAUGGUUAGGUAAACACAAUUUUCUCUUUACUAACAAGUUGUUUCUGCUCUAUUAUUAUUUGACUCUUUACAAUUCAUAAAUAAAAUUAAAUCAAUAACAUCUGUGAACAUCACUGCCCUUCCGCUCCUCUGAAAUACCCCAUAACCUUCCAUAACUUUCUUUAUUGCUAGUGAGCCUCAUGUCAGGCUAUCUUGAAACUCCUAGCCCUACAGGAAAUAAUGUCUGGAUUACAAACACUUGGGGGUUUUUUACAGUGGCAGGCAGGGAGAGGACAUAACACUGAAAUUCGGGAGUAUUAAGAGGAUUAUGAUAGCUGUUGGAUUUUGAGGGGUUUCUUUGGAGUCUUAUUUCUCCUUCAAGUGCAAAACACCUGGGAAGGCAGCCAGCCAGCUGAGACAGGCUCUGGAAACAUCAAAUCAUCAGAGAAGAGCACCAAUCUACCCUGCCACAACCUCUGUUAAAAACUCCUCAGGGAUUCACUUCCCAUGCAAGUGGUCUGUGGAUAAUGCAAAGUAAAGAAGAGCAGCUGGUGUCACUGAGAGGUUCAUCAGUGGCAAAGCCACUUCAGUACCCUCUGUGACUGGAGAGGUAAUCACCACAGCAGUCCAAGACCUAGCCCGGUGCUCCAUCCGUGCCGUGCCAUGUGUCAUCUGGAACUAAAGGAGCAUGAAAACAUUUCCAGAAGGUGAAAUGUUGGCAGAGGCAAAGGCUGAUAGGGAGAGGCUGCUGUGGCUGGUGAGAAAGAAGGUGAGAAGACGGCAGAACACAGAUAUGGUGAUGGAAGCUGGAAAAGGAGUAAGAAGGAUUAUGUUAGCACUUGCAUCCAGUCUCAACUACAGAAAAUAUCAUGAGCUCCUGUGCACUGAAAUGCUGUAGAUGUGUACAAUGCAUGCACUUACACAGGCCAAAAAAACCCUUUGCUUGGUUUUUCUUUUUUUUUUUUCCCUAUCAGCACCAGAAACAUGAGUUUUGCCCCUUGCUGGAGGCCUGAACUCUUCUUGUGCACAUUUUAGAGUAUGAUUCAGACUAAGUUCUUUUUUUGUCACUGGCCCCAUUACCUAAUGUUUUGCAGUCCUGCCCAAUAAAGAUUUAUUCAUCUCA